GACGAACGCUGGCGGCGUGCCUAAUACAUGCAAGUAGAACGCUGAAGAGAGGAGCUUGCUCUUCUUGGAUGAGUUGCGAACGGGUGAGUAACGCGUAGGUAACCUGCCUUGUAGCGGGGGAUAACUAUUGGAAACGAUAGCUAAUACCGCAUAACAAUGGAUGACCCAUGUCAUUUAUUUGAAAGGGGCAAAUGCUCCACUACAAGAUGGACCUGCGUUGUAUUAGCUAGUAGGUGAGGUAACGGCUCACCUAGGCGACGAUACAUAGCCGACCUGAGAGGGUGAUCGGCCACACUGGGACUGAGACACGGCCCAGACUCCUACGGGAGGCAGCAGUAGGGAAUCUUCGGCAAUGGGGGCAACCCUGACCGAGCAACGCCGCGUGAGUGAAGAAGGUUUUCGGAUCGUAAAGCUCUGUUGUAAGUCAAGAACGAGUGUGAGAGUGGAAAGUUCACACUGUGACGGUAGCUUACCAGAAAGGGACGGCUAACUACGUGCCAGCAGCCGCGGUAAUACGUAGGUCCCGAGCGUUGUCCGGAUUUAUUGGGCGUAAAGCGAGCGCAGGCGGUUUGAUAAGUCUGAAGUUAAAGGCUGUGGCUCAACCAUAGUUCGCUUUGGAAACUGUCAAACUUGAGUGCAGAAGGGGAGAGUGGAAUUCCAUGUGUAGCGGUGAAAUGCGUAGAUAUAUGGAGGAACACCGGUGGCGAAAGCGGCUCUCUGGUCUGUAACUGACGCUGAGGCUCGAAAGCGUGGGGAGCGAACAGGAUUAGAUACCCUGGUAGUCCACGCCGUAAACGGUGAGUGCUAGGUGUUGGAUCCUUUCCGGGAUUCAGUGCCGCAGCUAACGCAUUAAGCACUCCGCCUGGGGAGUACGACCGCAAGGUUGAAACUCAAAGGAAUUGACGGGGGCCCGCACAAGCGGUGGAGCAUGUGGUUUAAUUCGAAGCAACGCGAAGAACCUUACCAGGUCUUGACAUCCCGAUGCUAUUUCUAGAGAUAGAAAGUUACUUCGGUACAUCGGUGACAGGUGGUGCAUGGUUGUCGUCAGCUCGUGUCGUGAGAUGUUGGGUUAAGUCCCGCAACGAGCGCAACCCCUAUUGUUAGUUGCCAUCAUUCAGUUGGGCACUCUAGCGAGACUGCCGGUAAUAAACCGGAGGAAGGUGGGGAUGACGUCAAAUCAUCAUGCCCCUUAUGACCUGGGCUACACACGUGCUACAAUGGUUGGUACAACGAGUCGCGAGUCGGUGACGGCAAGCUAAUCUCUUAAAGCCAAUCUCAGUUCGGAUUGUAGGCUGCAACUCGCCUACAUGAAGUCGGAAUCGCUAGUAAUCGCGGAUCAGCACGCCGCGAUGAAUACGUUCCCGGGCCU
rnacentral:rRNA from 1 species